UAGCGGGACAGGAAUUCCGAGGGCCGGCGGAGAGAGUUCCCUGGCAAACGCCCAAGCUCAAGGGGAUCGAUCCCGGUCUGUCAAAUUUUCUUCACAAUGGGACUCCUUUCUCUUCCCUUCUGACCUCGGUGGAGCUGCUGAGCAGUCUGGUAAUCAGGCUGAUGAAGCACACCUGGGUUACCUGCAUUCCAGGGCUGUAGUGUUCUGCAGACUGCUCCAAUCUACCUUUGGUCCUGCCCAGCUGUACAUCUCUACAUCCUUUAACCUACAGGUAUCCAUAUGAG